rnacentral:rRNA from 1 species
AUGACCACCGCGCCGUUCCUCUUCCCCUCGCUCUCCCGACUACACUCCGCGCGGGCCUCUUCGUUCCCCAAACCCCCCGUCGGGUCCGGGGCAGGGGUCGCCUUCCCCGCCCGGCCGUACGGGUCGUCGCUUCGCCUGAGGUCGUCCGUCAUGGCUGCCACUGGCGUCGGCGGGAACGGCUCUCCGAUGGCGCCUGAGGAGUCCACAGGUGGUUUGAUUUCUGCGCUGUUUGCUAUGCUGCUUCGUGCAUGUGAUUUGUUCCUAUGUUAUGAUCAUCCAAGUCACCGUUGUUCAGCUUCUGUACUAGCUUAUCUCUUAUUCUGUUCAUUGUUUUCAGUGUCGUCUAGGUUGGGGGAGGUGAAGAGGGUAACCAAGGAAACAAAUGUGCAUGUCAAGAUCAACCUGGACGGCACUGGUGUUGCAAACUCCAGCACAGGGAUACCCUUCUUGGAUCACAUGCUUGAUCAACUGGCAUCUCAUGGACUGUUUGAUGUAUACGUGAAGGCGACGGGGGACACACACAUUGAUGAUCAUCACUCAAAUGAGGAUAUUGCUUUAGCAAUUGGAACGGCGUUACUUCAAGCACUUGGUGACCGAAAAGGAAUUAACCGGUUUGGGCAUUUUACAGCACCACUUGAUGAGGCAGCAGUUGAGGUUAUACUGGAUCUAUCUGGUCGACCUCAUUUGAGCUGCGGCUUAAGCAUUCCUACCGAGAGAGUUGGCACAUAUGAUACACAGCUAGUUGAGCAUUUCUUCCAGUCCCUUGUGAAUACAUCUGGCAUGACGCUUCACAUCCGUCAGCUUGCGGGGAACAACUCACACCAUAUUAUUGAGGCAACUUUCAAAGCAUUUGCCAGGGCGCUUCGACAAGCAACGGAAUAUGACUUACGCCGCCAGGGUACUAUCCCCAGCUCAAAAGGUGUUCUGUCAAGGUCGUAG